ACGACAUUUAGCAUAUAACACAUUUGACAUCCCCGAAACAUCGCAGUAUGAACUAUGCCAAUGUUCCCACGACCUUUCUCAACCUUUAUGCAGGACAUCCUUGGGUUGUCGACACAUCCCUGGCGAUGUCAAAUGAAGCUUUCAAAUGUAAUCAACACUGCAUGUCUAUUACAACAAUACGGUAUCGGCCAUUAAUAGGCCAGGUUACUGUUGCUUCUCCUCAUUUUGGGGGCCGCGGCAACUCUAGAAGACUCCGCCUCGGUACUUUCGUUUCCUUGCACCAUGUCUACUGCGCUCCUUCGACUGCGUCUUGGGUGCGAGGAAAGGAGCAGAAGAGAUGUUGCUGGGAUGAUAUUAAUAAGAACAAGAAUUUUGUUUGAAGGGGAUCAAUUUGAUCAGUGCCGAGACAAAGAAUCCUUCGCACACCUCAGAGGGGGAUGCAGGUUGCUGGCAAGUGAGGGGCAUUACAGGUUGUUGAGGGGGAGGGGAGGUGGAGACAGUCGAAGUAUUGGCCGACGACCUAUAGGAACAAACCUUCGGUCAGCCUUUCUCGCCAGCUCUCCCGGAAGUAGGUAUCAAUUUUCAGCUGGAACCCCUCCAUGGUGUCCCUUAAGUCGAACCUCCCCCUCGCCAUUUUCAUCACUUAACUUCCCGUAUUCCUCCAAGUCCUCCCAGUAAAGAUGGUGUUGCAAACUGUGCCAUGUCAUCUAAUGCACGAUGAUGUCGCAGAUCAUCUAUACGUACUGAGAAACAACGUCCCACCCUCCUCGCUGAUAGUUUUUCUUAAUUUCCUCAUCCAUAAACUCGAAGAAAGUGGGGAUCAUUAGCUUUUUGCUUUUGCCGCGGCAUUUGCUACGAACGGUCUCCUGCUUAAGAUCCUCCACCUUCUUUUCCCAAGGGACUACCCUCUCCCGCUAAAUGACCAGUUUAGAGCUACGCUCACUUUACGGCGAUUUGACUCACCAGAAACGCCAGAUGACCAAGAAUCGAGGACACCUUACAGUACCCUGAAGGGAGGAGCUCAUCCGCCAAAAGCCAGAGCUGUUAAAAUCUUGUUUCUUUCUUUGGUCACAAGAAAUUUUAUAUAUCGACCCAGCUCUAACUGUCCCAUAGGGUCUUCAUCGCCAGGUACAACGCCUGGUUCAAAUCUGUUCAUAAAGUCCUACGCCGAUUUGCUCAGUGAAGUGCAAGGAGUAUACCAAAAGGUUUUGAAUCGACCUACCAUUACGGCGGAGAAAAGAGAAGCGUCUCUGUAGGAAGGAAAAGCGCCUGAAAUCAUAAUAGACGUGACGUGCUUAGGAACUAUCUCCUUAAUGGUGUGUGAGUUCAUUAAUCGUGUAUGAUUUAAUACUUCGUGAACAACUGAAAAAACGUACAUACCUUGGCCUUCUCCAAGCUUGAAGUGUUAUGAAGUUUCUGUUGGCCGUAAUAGAUGAGGAUAUAGACAUCCAAAACACUGCGGAUACGCGCAUGAGGACCAGGCUAACAGUAAAGUCAGUUGUUCAAGACCGACAUCAUCAUUGUUUCACCUAAAUUUAUCCAUCUUCAUUCCCCGUUUUUAUCAUCAAUGAUGAUUCGUUGUAAGUUAAUAAUGGAGAAGAGUAAGGAGAACAACAAAGAGAAGCGAAUGGUAGAUCAGCCGUCUGUCGUCAAGUUUUUAGCCCCUUGCUUGUUGUUAUUUGUUGUUCGUUGUCUGCUGUUCAUUAUUUCAUCGCUCUUUUCUUUCGUCGCGAAGGGGUUCCGUAU
rnacentral:sRNA from 1 species